rnacentral:rRNA from 1 species
CUCUAAUCAGGAUCCUGAGUACGGCCCAGCACGUGAAAUUGGGUCGGAAUCUGGGAGGACCAUCUCCCAAGGCUAAAUACUAACUAGUGACCGAUAGCGAACAAGUACCGUGAGGGAAAGGUGAAAAGAACCCCGGAAGGGGAGUGAAAUAGUUCUUGAAACCGUGUGCUUACAAGAAGUUCGAGGCCGUUAAUGGCUGAGAGCGUGCUUUUUGUAGAAUGAACCGGAGAGUUACGAUUGCGUGCAAGGUUAAGGUGCAAAGACUGGAGCCGUAGCGAAAGCGAGUCUUAAUAGGGCGAAUCAGUACGUAGUUGUAGACCCGAAACCGAGUGACCUAUCCAUGGUCAGGUUGAAGGUGGGGUAAUACCUACUGGAGGACCGAACAAGUGGGUGUUAAAAAACCCUUUGAUGAACUGUGGAUAGCGGUGAAAUUCCAAUCGAACUCGGAGAUAGCUGGUUCUAUCCGAAAUACAUUUAGGUGUAGCCUUGCAAUUAGCUUACUGGAGGUAGAGCACUAUUUGGUCUAGGGGCCCUUCAAGGGUUACCAAAAUCAGAUAAACUCCGAAUGCCAGCUAAGUAUGUGCAGGAGUCAGACGGUGAGUGAUAAGAUCCAUCGUCAAAAGGGGAACAGCCCAGAUCACCAGUUAAGGUCCCUAAAUAUAUGCUAAGUGGAAAACGUUGUGAAGGUGCAUAGACAACUAGGAGGUUGGCUCAGAAGCAGCCACCCUUUAAAGAGUGCGUAAUAGCUCACUAGUCGAGUGCUCUUGCGCGGAUAAUGUACCGGGGCUAAGCAUAUUACCGAAACUGUGGAUGCGUAAGCAUGGUAGGAUAGCGUAAUUAACGCGAUGAAGGAUGACCGUAAGGACAUGUUGGAGCGUUAACUAGUGAGAAUUCCGGUAUGAGUAGCGAAAGAUAGGUGAGAAUCCUAUCCACCGAAUGAGUAAGGUUUCCCCCGGAAGGCUCGUCCGCGGGGGGUUAGUCGGGACCUAAGGCGAGGCUGAAAAGCGUAGUCGAUGGACAACAGGUUGAUAUUCCUGUACCGAUAUUUAAUUGCCGAAGGAAGGACGCAGAAGGAUAACACAGGCCACUAUUGGAUGUGGUUUUAAACAGUUAGUCUUCAUAAGAGUCAAAUGCUUUUAUGUUUAAGGAUAAGCUGUGAAUGUACCAAGUUUACUUGGAAAUUGUGUGAUUUCACGCUGCUGAAAAAAGUUUCGUAGGAAGAAAAUAUUGCCCGUACCGCAAACCGACACAGGUACUCAAGUGGAGAACACUAAGG